rnacentral:lncRNA from 1 species
GGUGAAACUCCUAUCGAUCUCUCUCUGGUCCCCAGCCUCCCUCUUUUCCGUUUUUGCUUGUCCGGUAAGCUGGAGAAAUGUUGCCUUCCAAUUUGUCAACGGUUCCGACUUCCAAAUAAUAGCCCAAAAAUAAAAAAAUAAAAAUCGAGUUGGCAAGGAUAGACUUCGAUUGCCAAGUCCUGUGAGACUUGCACAUGUACACGAACAAGCUUGCUAAUAUUUCUAAUUGUAUGUGAUGGGACUUCCCAUCACUUUCCUCCUCC